rnacentral:rRNA from 1 species
UUAAGCUAAUAAGAGCGUAGAGGUGAAUGCCUUGGCAUCAGGAGCCGAUGAAGGACGUGGUAAGCUGCGAUAAGCUGCGGUAAGUUGCAAACAAACAUUAUACCCGCAGAUUUCCGAAUGGGGAAACCCACAUGGAGUCAUGUCCAUGUAUCAUACACUGAAUACAUAGGUGUAUGAGGGGAACCGUCUGAACUGAAACAUCUAAGUAGGACGAGGAAAAGAAAUCAACCGAGAUUCCGCUAGUAGUGGCGAGCGAAAGCGGAAGAGGCUAAACCAUAGGCAGCAAUGUCUAUGGGGUUUUGGACUGCAUUUAGCAUUGAUGAAUUCUAGAAGAAACGCAUGGGAAGGCGUACCGAAGAGUGUGAUAGUCACGUAAUCAAAAGAUGAAAUCAGCGAGCAGUAUCCGGAGUACCGCGGGACACGUGAAACCCCGUGGGAAGAUGGGGGGACCAUCCUCCAAGCCUAAAUACUACCUGAUGACCGAUAGCGAAUAGUACUGUGAAGGAAAGGUGAAAAGAACCCCGGGAGGGGAGUGAAAAAGAACCUGAAACCCUAUGCUUACAAGCACUGAGAGCACGUCAAUGUGUGAUCAGGUACCUAUUGUAGAAUGGUCCGGCGAGUUAUGGUAUACAGCGAGGUUAAGCGAUUAAGUCGUGAAGCCGAAGCGAAAGCGAGUGUUAACUGCACGAAUAAGUUGUAUGCUAUAGACCCGAAACCGGGUGACCUAUCCAUGUCCAGGCUGAAGUCAAGGUAAAACUUGAUGGAGGGCCGAACCCACUCCCGUUGAAAUGGUAGGGGAUGAGGUGUGGAUAGCGGUGAAAUUCCAAUCGAACCCGGAUAUAGCUGGUUCUCCUCGAAAUAGCUUUAGGGCUAGCCUCGAGAAAAGAUUAUCGGAGGUAAAGCACUGAAUGAGCUAGGGGCCGAGAGGUUACCGAACUCUAUCAAACUAAGAAUGCCGAAUAAUCGUUGCUCGGGAGUCAGACAGUGUGAGAUAAGUUUCAUUGUCGAAAGGGAAAGAGCCCAGACCCACAGCUAAGGUCCCCAAGUACAUUUAAGUGGAAAAGGAUGUGGAAUUGCACAGACAACCAGGAUGUUGGCUUAGAAGCAGCCAUACAUUUAAAGAGUGCGUAAUAGCUCACUGGUCGAGUGAUUCUGCGCCGAAGAUUUAACGGGGCUAAAGUGUACACCGAAGCUUGGGCUUGACAGUAAUGUCAGGGGUAGGGGAGCGUCGUAUAUGGAGUGAAGUCGUAUCGUAAGGGACGGUGGACUGUAUACGAGUGAGAAUGCCGGAAUGAGUAGCGCGAAUUGUGUGAGAAUCACAAUGGCCGAAAACCUAAGGUUUCUGGAGGAAGGUUCGUCCGCUCCAGGUAAGCCGGGAGCUAAGGUCAGGCCGAAAGGCGUAGCCGAUGCACAUAUAGUUGAAAUUCUAUAGCCUCAGAAAGAUUUAAGCAGAGGGACACUUUUGGAUGGAUGUAGCCGGGCGAUGGUUGCCCCGGUCGUAAGCGAGCGAAAUAUAAGUAGUGAAGUACAUCUUGAAGAGAGGCGAGAAAAGCUCUGUGUAUAUCUUAUGAGCCCGUACCGCAAACCGACACAGGUAGGUAGGAUGAGGAUUCUAAGGCCAACGGGAGAAGGGUAGUUAAGGAACUCGGCAAAUUGACCCCGUAACUUCGGGAGAAGGGGAGCCGACGCUCAAUCAAGCUAUUAGCAUGAUUGCAGCAAAGAAAAGGAUAUAUUAAUAUAUUUUUUAAAAAAAGUGAUAAUAGGAGUUUAGUUCGACUUUUAAUAUCAAAGAAAAGCAAUCGUGCGAUGUUUUGAUUGAGCGUCGGCCGCAGUGAAACGGCCCAGGCGACUGUUUAUCAAAAACACAGCUCUAUGCUAAAUCGAAAGAUGAUGUAUAUGUGGUGACACCUGCCCAGUGCUGGAAGGUUAAGAGGAGAUGUGAGAGCAUUGAAUUGAAGCCCCAGUAAACGGCGGCCGUAACUAUAACGGUCCUAAGGUAGCGAAAUUCCUUGUCAGGUAAGUUCUGACCCGCACGAAUGGUGUAACGAUCUGGGCACUGUCUCAACUACCCGCCCGGCGAAAUUGUAGUACCGGUGAAGAUGCCGGUUACCCGCGACUAGACGGAAAGACCCCAUGGAGCUUUACUGUAGCUUAAUAUUGGAUUUUGGCAUUUCAUGUACAGGAUAGGUGGGAGACUAGGAAGCAUAGGCGUUAGCUUAUGUGGAGUCACCCUUGGGAUACCACUCUUGAAGUGCUGAAAUUCUAACCUGCAACCCUGAAUCGGGUUGGGGGACAUUGUUAGGUGGGCAGUUUGACUGGGGCGGUCGCCUCCUAAAAAGUAACGGAGGCGCUCAAAGGUUAGCUCAGUAUGGACGGAAACCAUACAGAGAGUGUAAACGCAGAAGCUAGCCUAACUGCGAGACCGACGGGUCGAGCAGUAACGAAAGUUGGAGUUAGUGAUCCGGCGGUAUGUGAAUGGAAAUGCCGUCGCUCAACGGAUAAAAGUUACCCUGGGGAUAACAGGCUGAUCUCCCCCAAGCGUCCACAGCGACGGGGAGGUUUGGCACCUCGAUGUCGGCUCGUCACAUCCUGGGGCUGUAUUCGGUCCCAAGGGUUCGGCUGUUCGCCGAUUAAAGUGGCACGCGAGCUGGGUUCAGAACGUCGUGAGACAGUUCGGUCCCUAUCUGUCGUGGGCGUAGGAUAUUUGAAAGGCGCUGUCCCUAGUACGAGAGGACCGGGAUGGACGCACCUCUGGUGCACCAGUUGUCACGCCAGUGGCACGGCUGGGCAGCUAUGUGCGGAAAGGAUAAACGCUGAAAGCAUCUAAGCGUGAAGCCUCCCUUAAGAUAAGAUAUCCCACAGCGUAAGCUGGUAAGACCCCUUGUAGACUACAAGGUUGAUAGGCUCAAAGUGUAAGUGCAGUAAUGUAUUUAGCUAGCGAGUACUAAUCGGUCGAGGGCUUAAACCU